AGUCAACCUACCCUAUAGACGGGGAUAACCUCGGGAAACUGAGGAUAAACCCCGAUAGAUCAUUAUGCCUGGAACGGUUUAUGGUCCAAAUGAUUCGUCGCUAUAGGAUGGGACUGCGGCCUAUCAGCUUGUUGGUGAGGUAAUGGCCCACCAAGGCUAUUACAGGUACGGGCUCUGAGAGGAGAAGCCCGGAGAUGGGUACUGAGACACGGACCCAGGUCCUAUGGGGCGCAGCAGGCGAGAAAACUUUGCAAUGUGCGCAAGCACGACAAGGUUAAUCCGAGUGAUUCCUGCUAAAGGAAUCUUUUGUUAGUUAUAAUACCACUAAUGAAUAAGGGGUGGGCAAGUUCUGGUGUCAGCCGCCGCGGUAAAACCAGCACCUCAAGUGGUCAGGAGGAUUAUUGGGCCUAAAGCAUCCGUAGCCUGCUCUGUAAGUUUUCGGUUAAAUCCAUCUGCUCAACAGAUGGGCCGCCGAAAAAACUGCAAAGCUAGGGAGUGGGAGAGGUAGACGGUACUCGAUAGGAAGGGGUAAAAUCCUUUGAUCUAUUGAUGACCCCCUGUGGCGAAGGCGGUCUACCAGAACACGUUCGACGGUGAGGGAUGAAAGCUGGGGGAGCAAACCGGAUUAGAUACCCGGGUAGUCCCAGCUGUAAACGAUGCAGACUCGGUGAUGCCCUGGCUUGUGGCCAGUGCAGUGCCGCAGGGAAGCCGUUAAGUUUGCCGCCUGGGAAGUACGUACGCAAGUAUGAAACUUAAAGGAAUUGGCGGGGGAGCACCACAAGGGGUGAAGCCUGCGGUUC
rnacentral:rRNA from 1 species